GUGGGGAAUUUUGGACAAUGGGCGCAAGCCUGAUCCAGCAAUGCCGCGUGCAGGAAGAAGGCCUUCGGGUUGUAAACUGCUUUUGUACGGAACGAAACGGUCCUGGUUAAUACCUGGGGCUAAUGACGGUACCGUAAGAAUAAGCACCGGCUAACUACGUGCCAGCAGCCGCGGUAAUACGUAGGGUGCAAGCGUUAAUCGGAAUUACUGGGCGUAAAGCGUGCGCAGGCGGUUUUGUAAGACAGGCGUGAAAUCCCCGGGCUCAACCUGGGAAUUGCGCUUGUGACAGCAAGGCUGGAGUGCGGCAGAGGGGGAUGGAAUUCCGCGUGUAGCAGUGAAAUGCGUAGAUAUGCGGAGGAACACCGAUGGCGAAGGCAAUCCCCUGGGCCUGCACUGACGCUCAUGCACGAAAGCGUGGGGAGCAAACAGGAUUAGAAACCCCAGUAGUCC
rnacentral:rRNA from 1 species